rnacentral:rRNA from 1 species
AUUGAACGCUGGCGGCAGGCCUAACACAUGCAAGUCGAGCGAGUGGCGGACGGGUGAGUAAUGUAUGGGAAACUGCCUGAUGGAGGGGGAUAACUACUGGAAACGGUAGCUAAUACCGCAUACUAUCAGAUGAACCCAGAGGGGAUUAGCUAGUUGGUGGGGUAAAGGCUCACCAAGGCGACGAUCUCUAGCUGGUCUGAGAGGAUGAUCAGCCACACUGGAACUGAGACACGGCCCAGACUCCUACGGGAGGCAGCAGUGGGGAAUAUUGCACAAUGGGCGCAAGCCUGAUGCAGCCAUGCCGCGUGUAUGAAGAAGGCCUUAGGGUUGUAAAGUACUUUCAGCGGGGAGGCGUUACCCGCAGAAGAAGCACCGGCUAACUCCGUGCCAGCAGCCGCGGUAAUAC